rnacentral:lncRNA from 1 species
CACACACACACACACAGCCCGUCUCGCGCCUGAGGUCUCGCCCGCAGGCCGGUGGCGCGGGGUCAGCUGCUGCGUGCGGUCCAGGACAGGGUCGGUUCCGCCGCGCAGCGCCCAGGCCCAGCUCGUCCAGAGUCUGCGGACAGCGCACGUCCAGACAUCGCCCACUCGGGCUCACAGUGCCAUCCGGGUGAGGACCUCCAUGGAGAGCUUCUCUUUGCCAAAGAAAAGGAGUUGCAUUAGGUCUGCGAGCAGGCAGGGUGGCCUCUUCCUGGCUCCCCAUCCACCAAGGAAGCUUCAAGUUCCUGGGACACAGGCACUUUCCCACACAGGAUGGAGCUGGGCCAUCCUCACAGCUCCUGCCCUGGAGACGCUGGCCUUGUGGAGGGAGGCGGGCAGCAGGAGCAGUGCUUUCUGGGCCUCUGUGGCCAGAGCUGGCCCUGCUGCAGCUCACUUCUGCCUGCAGCCCAGACGUCCUCCUGGUCCUCCUGAUGCCCCCGACCUCCAUGGAGGACGAGCAUUUCCAGCCCAGCCCUCCCCGUCUUCACCUCGCACUGCCCUGACACACUGGGAGCCUCCUGAUCCGUGAACCCGCGCUGGCGGGAGUAGCUACUGACCGCUGGGGACCCCUGCCCAGGCUGUUCGCAUGUGGAAAGGAUUCAGGGAGCAGGCGAUGCCCAAAGCGUGGAGACCAGCACUGCUCUCUCCCCAGCGACAGGUGCACGCCCAGAUCACGGAUGUGUCGGGAACAGCUGUGCUCCUGCUGCUCAGCGUCCGUCACUCCAGGCUGGGAGCGGGUCCCCAAGCUUCCGGCUGGGCCUAUCCGUCUCCACUCUCAGUGUGGGGGUGGGGGGCGCCAACAGCACGCAUUUGCUCUCUGCACUUCUCGUCUGAUAAUGGGCAGAGGGUCCUUCUGCAGCCCCAAAACAUCCCUAGGCAGGAGCCCUGGGGCCCCAAGCAGCCAGGGAGGUGAGCACCAAGGACCUCCCAGAGAGCGUCACCUUCCGCCGAGGGAGGCCCAGCCUGGGGGUGGUGUCUGAGACUUGGAAUCAACGCUUCCAUUGGUGGCAGUAAAUCCUGUCCCUAACCCUGCAGUAUAGCUGUGCCGUGUACAGGAGGGUGCUGUCUGACGCCAGACACCUGGACUACAGAUCGCAGCCCGAUUCCUGGUCAUUGCUCCACUGAACCCCAGACCCCAGCCUCAUUCUGGGCCCUCAUCCCCUAGAUCCAGGGACCCCAGCCCCAUUUCAGCCCUUGGGCCCUUGUAGGAUGCGAGGCCCUGGGCCCCAGCCCCCAGCCCAUCCGUGGCCCAGGCACUGGGGGGCUGAGGUCCUCUGAGAAGGGACACAGGGCCUGGGGGGCUGUCUCAGCCCAUCAGCAGGAGAGGACUGACUCCAGAAAAAUCAGCGUUUGUACCCACUCAGGCUGCCAAGACCUGUGUCCGUCCUUCCAAGCUCAACCUUCAGAGUUCAUGAGGCCCCUUGCCCAGAAUGUCCACAGAGUUCAUGAGGCCCCUUGAAUGUCCACAGAGUUCAUGAGGCUCCUUGCCUGGAAUAUCCACGUUUGAAACCUCCCAACACCGAGCCCCAUUUCAAGUAUAACCAGGAGGGAAAAUGGUGCUUGAAAUAAGCAUGCCGCAAAGGAAAACCUGCUUUCUCGAAAUGGGCCCUGGCCGCCCAGGCCCUGACCUCCCCGGCCAGGAUGGAACGUUCCAGAGACCCAUUAGUGCCAAAGGCAAAUGAAAACACACCCUGUGAAAAU